AUCCAUGGAAACGCUCUCCUUCUCUAUUGGCUCGGUAUUCCCUGCGGGAGAGAGCUGAUUCCAAAGCCGCGCACCAGCAGGACUCAGACUGGACCAAGAUCAGCAAGGAAGGCAACUAAAGAACUAAUUAAGGAAACGUGAUAUAAUGUAAAUCAGAUCAAGUUAGGUGUAAUUUAAAGCUUCUCUCUGGACUUUGUUGUCGUAAAGGAGAUGGGACGACAUCUAGUAACGUUCUUAGCGAAGACCUCAUUGCUCUGCUGUGUGUGUCUCUGCGAGGCUGGAUGAGAAGAAUCAGAUGAUGACAACUAAUGUAUGGCUCAAGCAGGAAUGGAAUGACUAUAAAUUGCGCUGGAAGCCCUCUGAUUUUGACAAUGUAACAUCCAUUAGAGUGCCAUCAGAGUUGAUCUGGGUACCUGACAUUGUCCUGUAUAAUAAACUCGGACACAAAACUCCUGCUCUUCGGUCGAGCUUUGAACUCUGCUGUAAAGCUGGACCCACUUGACGUAGUUGGG